rnacentral:tRNA from 1 species
GGUGGCUCAGAGGUAGAGCGCUUGCCUAGCAUGCAUGAAGCCCUGGGUUCGAUUCCUCAGCACCA